UUGACAACUACUUUUGUGGAAAAUUACUCUGAAAGAAGCAACUGCUAAAAAGGAUGGACCAUUAUGAUGACAUUCAGAACUGUAGGAAAAUUCUGUUAGUUAAAAAUGAACCAGGGAGGCAGUCUGUCCAGCUUUACCCUUCUCUAUGGUAUCUAAACACGUAUCACUGGGAAAAGGAGGGAGAAAAAUCAAACAAAUUCAUGUGUUGAGGCACAGCAGUAUUGUACUUUUGGCUCCAAGUAACUGAUGCAAGUAACAAUGAGAAGGAAGAACUAAGGCACCUGAUUAUGUGAUUGCAGAUGACUAAGUAGUGAUUCUACCAACUUGCCAGGGAUUAAAAUGAGACCUACUGGUCUGUAGUUCCCAGGAUCACUUCUGCAUCCCUUUCUAAAGGUGGCCACAAUCUAGAAGCACUCUUAUCUAGAACACAGCAUCCCUACCAAUCUGACUGCUUGGACUGCUCCUCUCCCAUUUAUAAGCACUUACUAUACCUGUUGCAGCUCAGUCAAUCACUUACAUGGAAAAGCAACAGAAAAACUGAUGUGACUACCCCAGGAUGGGCUUUUCAUAAGAGAUAUAAGUAAGUAGGUGUCUGACUUCCACUACAUUUCAGUGAGAUUCGGGUGCUUAGCUCCCAUAGACUCCUUCGAAAAUCCCUGCCUAAAGAUUCAGAAUCUUGCCCCUGCUCCCCAUUGGCUGGCCACAGGCCUUGCAUUUUUCCCCCCAGAAACUGCAGUGGGAGCAAUUGCAUCGCUAGUGAAAUGACAUUAAUAAAAACACUUAAGUGACUUUUCAAGGAAUUGAAGGCAUUUCCAGAAGAAAUUCUAGUUCUUGCCUGUAUGCCGUAGGCUAACUUCUCUGCUAGUAUACAUCAGCAUUUACUAAAGCAGUGACAGACUGAAAAUACUGAAGGCAACUUGUAUUGUGGAAUCCUUCAAAGACUCUGCCAUCUCUUCUUUCCCAGAGGAGAGAGAGAACUCUGGAUCCUACUGGAGCACCAACUGAGAAUGAUGGGCUGCAUUGGCCUUAUCAUCAAUACAACCCAUCCUGCUCACCUACCGCAAAACACAUCAGUCAAAUAAAAACAACAUGAGUCAA